UCCCCUGUGGUGUAAUCGGCAGCACUGCGGUUUUUGGUACCGUAUGUCCAGGUUCGAGUCCUGGCGGGGGAGCC
rnacentral:tRNA from 1 species